GGGCCGGAGCUCAACAUCUCUAGUGGUGUUAGGACUGCCUGGUCCUCUUAGCAAUCAGGGAGAGAAAGAUGGCUCACACACACACACAAACACUAGGGACUCUCCACGGUGUUGAUUCCUUAUACGACUUGCAAUCUCUGACUCCCGGAAGAGACAAGCUUGUUCCCCUGUCUCAUCCUGUCUGCCGCAGCCUGGCCACUUUCAAGGUUUCUGGCAGUGACCGGAACAAAUGAAGAUGACAAAGACCCAUCUAUGGGCAGCAGGGACACUCAUUCGUGGGCUCCUCUGGCUGACCCUUCCACACACUACGUUUCCAGGAAAAAAAUCCCGCAGAGCAUAACACAUCAGUGUCCUUGACCUUCCGGCAGUUGAGUCAUCACCAGGUCCUUGGCAAAGAGUAUAAUCUAGGACUGCCUGCCUAGGGAUGUGACCACUCACAUGAAUCAACCAUCAAGAAAAUAUCCCACAGACACAACCAUUGGCCAGUCUGAUGGAGAAAUUCAUCAACCGAGGCUUCCUGGAGUGGAAGCCAUUGAUCCAGAGAGCAACAAUGUUUCUUUCAUCUAGUAGAGACUGUUUCAGCCUGGCUUGAGCAGGGUUUUGAUCGUCUUCCGUUGCUGGUAUCAGGGGGAUGUGAGUGCAUGCGUGUGUCUGUGAGUGUGUGUGUGCUAACGUAUGUAUGUGUGU